ensembl:snoRNA SNORD18 Small nucleolar RNA SNORD18
GUGUGAUGAUGAGGUAAACUUCAGGUCCGUGUUUUUGAACAACCAUGAUAACAACUGAAGUUCUGAAACU